rnacentral:rRNA from 1 species
AACGAACGCUGGCGGCAUGCCUAACACAUGCAAGUCGAACGAGACCUUCGGGUCUAGUGGCGCACGGGUGCGUAACGCGUGGGAACCUGCCCUUAGGUUCGGAAUAACUCCCCGAAAGGGGUGCUAAUACCGGAUAAUGUCUUCGGACCAAAGAUUUAUCGCCUUUGGAUGGGCCCGCGUUGGAUUAGCUAGUUGGUAGGGUAAAAGCCUACCAAGGCGACGAUCCAUAGCUGGUCUGAGAGGAUGAUCAGCCACACUGGGACUGCGACACGGCCCAGACUCCGACGGGAGGCAGCAGUGGGGAAUAUUGGGCGAUGGGCGAAAGUCUGAUCCAGCAAUGCCGCGUGAGUGAUGAAGGCCUUAGGGUUGUAAAGCUCUUUUACCCGGGAUGAUAAUGACAGUACCGGGAGAAUAAGCUCCGGCUAACUCCGUG